rnacentral:rRNA from 1 species
UUUUGAUCAUGGCUCAGAUUGAACGCUGGCGGGAUGCUUUACACAUGCGAGUCAGACGGCAGCACGGACUUCGGUCGGUGGCGAGUGGCGAACGGGUGAAGUAAUGUAUCGGAACGUGCCUAGUAGCGGGGGGAUAUUAACUACGCGAAAGCGCUCAGCUAAUACAUACGCCCUUCGGGGAGACGGGGACCUUCGGGCCUCGCACUAUUAGAAGCGGCCGAUAUCGGAUUAGCUAGUUGGUGGAGUAACGGCUCGCAAGGCGACGAUCCGUAGCUGGUUUGAAGGACGACCAGCCACACUGGGACUGAAGACACUGGCCCAGACUCCUGCAGGAGGCAACAUUGGGGAAUUUUGGACGUAAUGGGGGAAACCCUGAUCCAGCCAUCCCGCGUGUGCGAUGAAGGCCUUCAGGUUGUAAAGCACUUUUGUGGGAAAAGAAACGGCGCAGGGAUAAUACCCCGUGCAGCUGACGGUACCUGCAGAAUAAGCACCGGCUAACUACGUGCCAACCAGCAGCCGCGUGCGUACGUAGGGUGCAAGCGUUAAUCGGAAUUACUGGGCGUAAAGCGUGCGCAGGCGGUUCCGGAAGAAAGAUGUGAAAUCCAGACCGCUUUGGAACUGCAUUUUUAACUACCGAGACUAGAGUGUGUCAGAGGGAGGUGGAAGAUCCGCGUGUAGCAGUGAAAUGCGUAGAUGCGGAGGGAACACCGAUGGCGAAGGCAGCACGCGGGAUAACACUGACGCUCGUGCACGAAAGCGUGGGGGCAAACAGGAUUAGAUACCCUGGUAGUCCACGCCCUAAACGAUGUCAACUAGCUGUUGGGAGCCUUCGGGCCUUGGUAGCGCAACUAACGCGUGGUGCGUCCGCCUGGGGAGUACGGUCGCAGAAUUAAACUCAAAGGUGCGGGGACCCGCACAAGCGGUGGAUGAUGUGGAUUAAUUCGAUGCAACGCGAAAAACCUUACCUACCCUUACGACAUGUCUGGAAUCCCGAAGAGAUUUGGGAGUGCUCGCAAGAGAACAGGAACACAGGUGCUGCAUAGCUGUCGAUGGCAGCUCGUGUCGUGAGAUGUUGGGUUAAGUCCCGCAACGAGCGCAGCCGCGUAUUUAGUUGCUACGAAGGGCACUCUAAUGAGACUGCCGGUGACAAACCGGAGGAAGGUGGGGAUGACGUCAAGUCUCAUGGCCCUUAUGGGUAGGGCUUCACAUCAUACAAUGGUCUGGGACAGGGGGUCGCCAACCCUUGAGGAGCCAAUCAAACCCGAUCGUGAUCACCGGAUCGCAGAUGCAACUCGACUGCAUGAAGUCGGAAUCGCUAGUAAUGUCGCGGAUCAGCAUGUCGCGGUGAAUAUGGUCCCGGAAUCUUGUACACCACCCGUCACACUGCGGGAAUUAGGUUUUACCAGAAGUAGUUAGCUAUGCUGGGAGGGCGAUUACACGGUAGGAUUCAUGACUGGGGUGAAAUUAAUAUCGUUAG